rnacentral:tRNA from 1 species
ACCUCUUAAGUUCUAUGUAGAAUAUCAAAUUGCAAAUUUGAAGGAUGUAGAGGUC